GAGUUUGAUCAUGGCUCAGGAUGAACGCUAGCGACAGGCUUAACACAUGCAAGUCGAGGGGCAGCGGGGGAGUAGCAAUACUCCCGCCGGCGACCGGCGCACGGGUGAGUAACACGUAUGCGACCUGCCCCCCGCAGGGGGAUAACCGGGAGAAAUCCCGACUAAUACCGCGUAACGCCGCGGGGCCGCAUGGCCCCGCGGCCAAAGGAAGCGAUUCCGGCGGGGGAUGGGCAUGCGGCGCAUUAGCUAGUCGGCGGGGUAACGGCCCACCGAGGCGACGAUGCGUAGGGGUUCUGAGAGGAAGGUCCCCCACACUGGUACUGAGACACGGACCAGACUCCUACGGGAGGCAGCAGUGAGGAAUAUUGGUCAAUGGGCGGGAGCCUGAACCAGCCAAGUCGCGUGAGGGAAGACGGUCCUACGGAUUGUAAACCUCUUUUGCCGGGGAGCAACGGGGUCCUUGCGAGGGCCCAAUGGGAGUACCCGGAGAAAAAGCAUCGGCUAACUCCGUGCCAGCAGCCGCGGUAAUACGGAGGAUGCGAGCGUUAUCCGGAUUUAUUGGGUUUAAAGGGUGCGUAGGCGGGCUGUUAAGUCAGCGGUCAAAUGUCGGGGCUCAACCCCGGCCUGCCGUUGAAACUGGCGGCCUCGAGUGGGCGAGAAGUAUGCGGAAUGCGUGGUGUAGCGGUGAAAUGCAUAGAUAUCACGCAGAACUCCGAUUGCGAAGGCAGCAUACCGGCGCCCUACUGACGCUGAGGCACGAAAGCGUGGGUAUCGAACAGGAUUAGAUACCCUGGUAGUCCACGCAGUAAACGAUGAAUGCUAGCUGUCCGGUUCUACGGGACUGGGUGGCACAGCGAAAGCGUUAAGCAUUCCACCUGGGGAGUACGCCGGCAACGGUGAAACUCAAAGGAAUUGACGG
rnacentral:rRNA from 1 species